rnacentral:rRNA from 1 species
UAGGGAAUCUUCGGCAAUGGGGGGAACCCUGACCGAGCAACGCCGCGUGAGUGAAGAAGGUUUUCGGAUCGUAAAGCUCUGUUGUUAAGGAAGAACGAGUGUGAGAAUGGAAAGUUCAUACUGUGACGGUACUUAACCAGAAAGGGACGGCUAACUACGUGCCAGCAGCCGCGGUAAUACGUAGGUCCCGAGCGUUGUCCGGAUUUAUUGGGCGUAAAGCGAGCGCAGGCGGUUAGGUAAGUCUGAAGUUAAAGGCAGUGGCUCAACCAUUGUAGGCCUUGGAAACUGUUUAACUUGAGUGCAGAAGGGGAGAGUGGAAUUCCAGGUGUAGCGGUGAAAGGCGUAGAUAUAUGGAGGAACAACGGUGGCGAAAGCGGCUCUCUGGUCUGUAACUGACGCUGAGGCUCGAAAGCGUGGGGAGCGAACAGG